AGAGUUUGAUCCUGGCUCAGAAUCAACGCUGGCGGCGUGCCUAACACAUGCAAGUCGAACGAGAAAGGGGAGCAAUCCCUGAGUACAGUGGCGACCGGGUGAGUAACACGUGACUACCUACCCUUGAGUGGGGGAUAACCUCGGGAAACCGAGGCUAAUACCGCAUAAUAUCGAAAGAUCAAAGGAGUAAUCCGCUUUUGGAGGGGGUCGCGGCUGAUUAGCUAGUUGGUGAGGUAAUGGCUCACCAAGGCGAAGAUCGGUAUCCGGCCUGAGAGGGCGCACGGACACACUGGAACUGAAACACGGUCCAGACUCCUACGGGAGGCAGCAGUGGGGAAUUUUGCGCAAUGGGGGAAACCCUGACGCAGCAACGCCGCGUGGAGGAUGAAGUCCCUUGGGGUGUAAACUCCUUUCGACCGGGAAAAUUAUGAUGGUACCGGUGGAAGAAGCACCGGCUAACUCUGUGCCAGCAGCCGCGGUAAUACAGAGGGUGCGAGCGUUGUUCGGAAUUAUUGGGCGUAAAGGGCGCGUAGGCGGUGUUGUAAGUCACCUGUGAAACCUCUGGGCUUAACUCAGAGCCUGCAGGCGAAACUGCAAUGCUGGAGGGUGGGAGAGGUGCGUGGAAUUCCCGGUGUAGCGGUGAAAUGCGUAGAUAUCGGGAGGAACACCUGUGGCGAAAGCGGCGCACUGGACCACUACUGACGCUGAGGCGCGAAAGCUAGGGGAGCAAACAGGAUUAGAUACCCUGGUAGUCCUAGCCCUAAACGAUGAUUGCUUGGUGUGAUCGGUACCCAAUCCGAUCGUGCCGCAGCUAACGCGAUAAGCAAUCCGCCUGGGGAGUACGGUCGCAAGGCUGAACUCAAAAGAAUUGACGGGGGCCCGCACAGCGGUGGAGCAUGUGGUUCAAUUCGACGCACGCGAAGAACCUUACCUGGGCCUCGAAAUGCAUG
rnacentral:rRNA from 1 species